rnacentral:rRNA from 1 species
CGCAUUCGCCCUUCGGGGUGCAGCAGGCGCGAAAACUUUACAAUGCUGGCAACAGCGAUAAGGGGACCUCGAGUGCCAGGAUACAAUCUUGGCUGUCGCGAUGCCUAAAAAGCAUUGCAUAGCAAGGGCCGGGCAAGACCGGUGCCAGCCGCCGCGGUAACACCGGCGGCUCGAGUGGUAACCGCUAUUAUUGGGUCUAAAGGGUCUGUAGCCGGCCGGAUAAGUCUUUUGGGAAAUCCAGCUGCUCAACAGUUGGGCUUUCAGAAGAUAUUGUUCGGCUCGAGACCGGGAGAGGUGAGAGGUACUUCAGGGGUAGGGGUGAAAUCUUGUAAUCCUUGAAGGACCACCAGUGGCGAAGGCGUCUCACCAGAACGGAUCUGACGGCAAGGGACGAAAGCUAGGGGCACGAACCGGAUUAGAUACCCGGGUAGUCCUAGCCGUAAACGAUACUCGCUAGGUGUCAGCCACGGUGCGACCGUGGUUGGUGCCGUAGGGAAGCCGUGAAGCGAGCCACCUGGGAAGUACGGCCGCAAGGCUGAAACUUAAAGGAAUUGGCGGGGGAGCAC